AAAAAAAAAUAGUUUAUUUUCUUAAACUUACAGCAUUGUUAGUUUAUUUAACAUCCCAUAAAACAAAACCACCAAUACGCGCACUUUAGAUGAAUCUUGCAAUACAUUGCUAAUAUGCGCCCAAUGGGUGUGCAAUGUCCCCACGCACCCUUCAUCGCCUAUAGAAGCAGUACACACACAUACUUACAGUAUGAUAGUGUGGUCCAUGGAUAUGGGUUCAGUUUUUACUUCCAAAUACCACCCUACAAAGCACACACACAAACACACACUUAAAUGUGUGUUUCGUUGGUUAUCUUCAUAAUGGUGAUAUUCUGAAAGUGGGAGAUUUUUUGAAGCGAAGAUGAAGAUUGAGCUCGAUAAAAGUCCUGAGAGUCAUAUUCUUCCACAGCUUUCUUGAACUUUCAUAGUUCUCAAGAUUUCUCAUUUUUCGUGAAUUUUCUUUUUGGAUUCCUUUUUGAGAAUUCAGAUAAUUAAACGAAGUUCAAGAAAGUUGUGGGAAAAUAUGACAAUUCUACGGGAUCCAUGAUUCUUCUUAAAUGUCUCCAUUGCAUUGGGUAAAGGUAGAAACUUUUUUCUCUUUCGAGUUUUUUCAUCUUUUUCAUGGUAGAUUCAGAAAAUAAAUUGGGAAAAUGGGUAGUAACAAAUAUUUACCAAAUUACCAAAUUCUCCCCUCCUAAAUUCUAAAAUAAUCAAUCAUAAAAUUGUCGACUUAAUAAUGUUAUAUGUAACAAAAUAACCAUUAUUUCUUCAAAAUUUCGUGACUAGCUAUCAUUUUCGGAAGGUAAGUUGUGAAAUGCAUAAUUGUUCAUCAAAUAAAAAGAAAGUUCAAAAUAAUAAAAUAAUCCUUUUUUAAUUACUAUUUCGAAAUUGUAUAUAAUAUUAAUUUCGAGUUGUAAUAACAAUUCCCUAAUUUCAAAAUAUAAUAUUUGUUAAUAACUUUUUUUUAAAAGUUUUUUGGUCGGAAUAAUAUCAAGAAUUUUGAAAUCUUGUAAUUGAGUGGUUGCAAAAUUGAUAUAUCAAGCUUGUGAUUGAUAAAAGAAAAACCAGUUUAGAAUAAUAAAACAUCAUAAAAUAAUAUUUUUGUGUUUAUUCCUUCCAAAAAUACCCAUAUUACACCUAUACAUUGUUUUCAAGACCUUAAUUUAAAGACCUCAGUUAACUUUAAAUUAUUUACCAAAAGAUAAACAAGAACAUAUCCAAACUUAAAUAUACUUCUAUUUUAUUAUAAUUAACCAAAUGUAUGAAUUACUGAUAUUAUAUACCAUACUACUAGUUAAUUAGACAAUACCCAUAUAUGAAACCGAAAAAGUACUAUGUGUAAACAAUUGUUAACUAGUUAUAUAUAUUGACAUUAUUUAAAGCAUCUCAAUCAGCAUUACUAUUUGUUCAGAAAAAAAAAAAUUAUAAUUAUUAUUGCUUUUUCUUUUUCAUUUUUCAAUAAUGGAAAGGAAAAAAGUAAUUAUGGCUGUAAAAAGAAAGUAUCUCAUGCAUGGGGAUGUACUAAGGUAUGAAUAAAAGGAGAAUCUCUUUUACUGUGGGAAUGAAUGUAGAGUAGAGUGUGGGAUUGAAUGAUCUGAAUAAUAUGAGAUGAUUUUCUUUUUGUUUCUUUCUGACCAUUCAAUCAAAACUCUGAUACACCCUUGUGGUGGGGUGCAAUUGCAGACAAGAUUCCCCCAAUCUCCGCCGAUCUUAUGUUCUAGGGUAAAUUACAUAUAAAAGAGUGUACUAAAAAGUAAAAGAACGUAAAUUAUAGGUGUGCAUUGGUAGGUUUUAAGGUGAAACCAAACCCAAACUCAUAAUUUGGGUUUUUAAAUCCAAUGGGUUUUGGUUUUUGGGUUCAUGUGCUCGUUUUCGUGUUCAACUCAUAGGUUGAUGGGUUUUCGGUUUAAACCUGUGAAUUUGCGUUUUAAUCCAUUUUCCAGCAAUUCUAAAUAAAAUGAUACAAAUUCAGUGUGUCGUCUUUGAAUUUAGAGUCUGAGAUUAUUUAUCUUGCUUUCACAUAUCAUUAGGUGAUUUACUGAUUUAGGGAUAUGGUUCGCGCCUGAUGUAGUCGUGCUCAUACUUGUGAGAUGUAGAGAUAGUGAGAUGAAAUGAGCCUUAGUAAAGGACAAGGACGGGGUUUGGCCUUUGAAACUUUAUUAUAUUUUAUUGUUUUGAUAAAACAUAUAAAUUUAUUCAAAUAUAUUAAAUAAUUAAUAAUAUGUAUAUUGGGUCGGGUUCUUGGUUUUGGUCAGUUUUAAACCCAAUGGGUUGGUUUGGUUUUAGUGGAUCUAUUUUGAACCCAAAACCGAAUAUAAACCGGAUUCUUCGGUUUUGAAAAAUCUAAACCCAAAACCGAUGGUUUAGGUUUGAUUUUGGAUUUUUGGUUUCAGUUUUAUCGAUUUUUGUCGGUUUUCGGUUUUGAUUUUGUUCAACCCUAGUAAACAACAUGAUAAAGUAUAUAUACUGCUUUUUAGGAUUAAUAUUUGGUGAUUUAUGUUAUAGUCUUAGGGUGAAGUUUAUUUUUCAUGCUUUAUGACCCAGUUCUUAGAGCAUUCGGUGUGAUCAAAUAGAUUUAACAUCAAUUUUGUGACAUCUUACAUGCCACAUAAGCAAUGAUGUUAUAACACCAAACAAUGAAAUGUUUUCAUGUUAUAACACCAAUAUUUUCCAUGUCAUUUUUUUUGAAUUUUUUUCGAGUUUGUUUUUUUUCUUUUUCGUGUUUUUUUAAUUAAUAAAACAAAUAUAUUUAUAAAACAAAAAGACAUAAUUUUUAAAAACUAAAAUUAAGGUUACAAUAAAAAACAUUAAUUUUAAAAGAUAACGUUUUUUCUUAGUCCUAAUUAACCCAAAUAACAUUUAAAUUAAACCUAAAACCAUAACAAUUUACUACUAAUCCUACUUACCUCAAAUACUUCUUCAUAAUUUGAUCCUUCGUUGUUUGUGUUUCCACCGAUGGUUGUGUUGGAGGUGGUGGUUGCGGUUGUGGUUGUGGUGGUUGGGUGAUUGGUUGUUGCAUCAAAUAGAAAGCCGAGAACAGAUUUUGUUGCAAGUAUGAGUUUCGGCCAAAAAGAUUUUAUUGAAGGUAAUGUGAGUUAGGAAAUUGCAGUGGUGGUGAAGCGGGAUUGAAAAAGGCUCAUUGGUAUGAGAUUUGUGGUGAUCUUUGAGACGAUAAAAUAUUGAAAUAAUUUUCGUAACCGGCAAAUCCGUGAGGCGAGGUUGUGUUUGGUUAUGUGUUUUGGUUUGACGGAGGGAUGUUUGGGUUUUGAUCCUUUUUUUUUGUUGUAGAAAGUAUGAGAUUUUAUAAAAUAUAGAGAAAAAAAGAGAAAUGUGUAAAAUGGGUUAAUGUGUUGUAUUUAUAGUAAAAAUUUAAAAGUAUUUUUUUUUUAAUUUAACCGUUUUACAACGGUCUAAUAUCCAAACGGUACAUUUUUUGCUCGUUUCAUCCGGACAAGAUGCCCAUGAUAAGCAACACAACGAGUGACAAUGAGAAGAGGGCGAUGUUCAUCUCGUUACGGUCGCGUUAUGGCCGAGCCACAUAGGCAAUAAAGACGUUGCACGUGUCCAUACCGGGUGCUCUUACAUUACUAUUAUAUUAGCUUUUGCAUUUUUUUUUUACUUUCAUUUAUCUAAUAUUACAAUACACACGGAAACUCAUAUUUCUCAUCAUUUUGAAUUCAUAUAAUCUUUUAGUUUUAAAAUAAAUAUAAAAUAAUUAAAAUUAUAUAAAAGUAAUUCAAAAAAAUAUUAAAAACAUACAAAAUUAAAUUACAAACUACAUAAAAAAAAUUUUGUACAAAUCUUUAUGCAUGAAAUACAACUAAUGAGAGAGACCUAAUCCAUCACACCAAACACUUCACUCCGUCCAUUCUUAUAAUUAACUAGGCGAAUGUCCGCGCGUUGCGCAGAAACAUCUAUAUACUUGAAAUCUUUAUAAAUAUAUGUUUUUUAAAUAUAAUAAUAACAUUGUUGUUAAAUUUGAUAUAGUAAUUUGUAUAGUAUUAUCACUACAUAAUCUCAAUCAUUUGAAUAACUUCUACCCCCGAGUUACUCAUGAAUAAAAUUAAAUAUAAUAUAUGGUUUAGUAUUAUUUAUAGUUGUUGUUAUUGUUAAUUAAGUUUUUAAAAUUUAUUUGCUUAACGUUGUAAUUUAUAUCAUUAUAAUUAUUUAAAACAUCACAUAUUAUUUUUUUGAUAUUAAAGGUAACAAUAUAAUCAUUUAUACAGAGUUAUUUUUAAUCUACUUAUUUUAAAACUUUUAGCGAUUAUAAAAAUAUCUUUAAGAAAUAUUUAGUUAAAUUGAGAUUAGAAUUUAGUUUUGCAUUUAGCACUAUAAUUUAUCACUUUUAACUAUUCACAAAAUAUUCUUUGGCUUUUUUAAAUUGAACUGAAAUUUAUAUUUAAGUUGACAUUGUAAUGUUAUAUUGAAAUUCACAAUUUAAGUAUCUUGUCCAAAAUGUUCAAAAAUUGUAGCUUUAAACUCAUAAUGGUUUACAUACAACAACAUAUUAAAUCUAGUAAAUUAAGUAUAAUAUGUUAAAAAUUAUAGACAUGACUUUAUAGGUAGAACUAAAGAUAUUAUUUUAAUAUCGAAAUUUAGUUUAUUUAUGAUUACACUUUAGGUUUGAUAUUUAUUUAAUCUUAUUAAUCAACUUAUAAUCAUUAUUAGAAAGACACUACAAUUUAUCACUUUUAACUAUUAAAAAAAGAGAAAAUUGCAAAUUUAGCCAAAAAGACUAAUUACUUUGUAGAAAAUAGCCAAAAAAAAUUGAAGUUGCAAAUAUGGCCACCAAAAUCGCAGAUGAGAAUGAUCCAUCUGCGAUUUGCCCAUCCCAUUUGCGAAUGUACAAGUGGCUAAAGCACAUACAUGCUUUAGCCACUUGUACAUUCGCAGAUGGGGUUUUUGUUUUUUUUUUAUUUUUUUUUGUGUAUAUAUAAGGAAGAACCAGGCUAAAAUCGCAGAUGGACAGUGUCCAUCUGCGAUUUCCUCUCAGUUUGAUCUACGAUUUUAUGGUAUUUUUUUCAAUUUUUUUUAAUUUUAACUAUGAAAUCAAUGGGUUUGACUACGAAAUAACCUUAUUAUAUAUAAACUUUUGUAGAAAAUUAUCAGUUUACUUGUUAUUUCUUUAGGAAAUUUCUUAAAAACCUCUCUAAAAAAGAUGAAUGGAUAUAUGGUUUGUCUUGUAACCGGCGAGAGAUGGCAAGUUAUUGAACCAAAUAUGGAAUACGUAUAUCCAUAGGGAGGUAUUUCUGAAUCCGCUUUGAUAUUUUCUGAGUAUAUUAGUUAUAGUGAUUUUUUAUGUUUGGUGAGAAACAAAAUUGGUUUGUUAGAAAAAUAUAGAAUUAGUCUUCGUUUCCAUCAUCCUGAUUUGAAUUAUUAUAUAGCCAUGGUUGAAGACAUGGAUGUUAGAAUGUUGAUAAAUGUAAUCAAAUGUAGUGGAGGAAGGGUUGUGAAAGUGUUUGUGGUGGUUGAUGAAGGAGAUGAGGUUAAUGAGGCUGGUUAGAGUGGAAAUCUGGAUGUUGGUAAUUUAUGCAGCUAUAAAGGGAGCAACGAUCCGAUAGGUACUUUCAAUACUCCUAGUGUACCUCAAUUUCACAGUGUUGCUGAAAAUGUUAAUGUUACUUAUUCACCUAUUCACUAUGUUGAUCCUGAGAAUUACAAGUAUGUUGGUGAUGAUGAUGUUGGUACAUAUCUUAAUGACGUGGGUGGUCGUUGUGUUGAUGUUCCUGAACAAGAAGUUAAAGUUUUGAAAAGGGUUGUAGUAGAUAAAAGUAAAAAGAAAAAAAUGCAUCAAAAAGAUGAAAAAAAGCAUGUUUACGGGGAUUAUGUUGAUGUUGCCGAUGUAGCUUCAGAUAUAACCGACUUAGAAAGCAAUUCAGAUGGAGAUGAGUUGGGUGAUGAAGUUAAAGCUAAGUUUCCCGAUAACCUUUUUUAUGGUAUGCCCCCUCUACCAGAUUAUGCAGUUGAUAUUAACGAAAAUAUCCCAACACAGAUGGUAGACAUCAAUCUUCAAAAGAUUGAAUAUAAGAGUAUAUUUAAUAACAAAGAACUUUUAUAGCGGGCUAUUGGUACAAAAGUGUCUCCGAGAAGGUUUUUCAGACGAGUACAAGUGCAUCCACCAAAUCAAGGUAUGAAGGUGUGUGUGUUUCGGAAAAUUAUUCUUGGUUACUAAGAGAAAAAGCAAUUAAAAAUUCUGAUGGAAUUUUCCAAGUAACCAAAUUUGUUGAUGUACACACAUGUUCUUCAACAAUUUUGCAACCUAAUCAUUGACAAGCAAACAAAUAUGUUUUGGGAGAAUAUCUUGCUGAUGUUUUGGCUGAAGAUUAUAGUAGAGUUUAUCGGGAAAAAGAUAUUAUUAAUGAUAUGAAUGCUCAAUUGAAUAUCAAUAUCUCAUACCAUCAGGCUUGGCGUGUGAAAAAUUAUGCAUUGUUGUUGUUGAGGGGUACAAAAGAGGAUUCUUUUACCAAACUUCCGGCUUAUUUCCACAAUUUGGUCAAACAUAAUCCGGGUACGGUGACACAUAUUAAAACAAAUGUUGAUGAUCGCUUUGAGUUUUUGUACGUCGCACUUGGUUGUUCGGUUAGUAUUUUAAUAUUUUAGUAUUUUUUUUUGGUGUAUUUGAUUAGAUAUACAAUGUAUUGUAGGUACGCGCUUUUGUCAAUUUUUGUAAACCGACCCUUGUAGUAGAUGGUGCCCACCUAAAGGGUGAGUUCAAAGGUACCAUGUUACUUGCAGUUACUAAGGACGGACAAAACCAAAUAUUACUGGUUGCAUAUGGUAUAUGCCAAAAAUGAGUGUACAGAUUCUUGGACAUGGUUUUUUCAAAAACUACGUGAUUCCAUAGGCAAUAUGGAGGAGCUUACAAUUAUAUCUGAUAGGUUUCCAUCUAUAGCGACAUCCGUUGCCAACAUUUUUCCUCACGCUCAUCACAUAAUAUGUGGUGUCCAUUUGUUUUUCAACAUUGUAUCUAGAUUCGGGAAAAGUAAGACAGUUAGAGGAAUUUUUUGGGAGGAUUGUAGGGCAUAUACAGUUGAUGCAUUUGAUGUUGCUAUGGAAGUUAUGAGAAAGACAAAAGAACCAGUAUGGGAGUACUUAAAAAGUAUAAAUCCAGAAACUUGGUCUACGCACAUUUUAAAGGGAAGCGUUACAAUCUUAUGUCGUCCAACAGUGCGGAGUCUAUAAAUGCAUUAUCUAGACACGCACGUAAGGUGCCGAUACUUAUGUUGAUCGAUUUUUUUCGUGCGACAAUGCAACAGUGGUGGUUUCAAAGACGUAACUUCGCAGCGGAAGCAACAACAACACUCACUCCUUGGGCCGAUGAAAUUGUAAAAAAAUAUAUAUAUACUUUUAAUAAGUGGGAUGUUCGUAUGAUCUCAAACACGAAAUGCGAGGUCAAAAAGGGGGCACAAAAUUUGAUUGUUGAUUUCCAACAAAUGACAUGUACAUGUAGGCAUUGACAACUUGAUGGGAUACCUUGUGGUCAUGUCAUAAGAUGUUUAAUAGUCAACAAUUAUCAAGACUGCUCAAGGUUUGCAUUAAAUGCUUACUUUACCGAAACACAAAGGAAAACAUAUGAGGAAUCACUAAACCCUCUGCCAAAGUCAUCCGAAUGGGAGAUCCCCGAUGAUUUGAUGAUUGUUAAGCCACCUAUAAUGGAUAAACGUCAGCCAGUCAGGCCAAGAAACACAGACCGCAUUCCAUCCCAAGGCGAGGGUCCAAUUAGAAAAGAGUGUUCUACAUGUGGUCAUGUAGGACACACGAGACACAAUUAUACUGGAAGGGCGUCCGGUAGUGGAGCACGUCGCAUGACAAUUUCUACUACAGAAAUGGUAUUUAAUAUUGGUGGUUCAGCGAGUUGCUCACAAACCUAUGACGCUGAUUUUGAUAUAAAACAACCUUGAAAUGAAGAGUUGUUAAGUUUUUAUGUAUUGUAAUUUUUUUAUUAAAUCUUACAAGACAUUGUUAUGCUUUCAUAUUUUAGUUAACUUUGCAGAUUAUAACAAUUAAUGAAGCUUUUAUAUUAUAAUA